AGGUGAACCCCCAGGCCGUGCAGGUGAACCCCCAGGCCGUCCGCUUAGCCUCGCUGCGAUCUUGGGCAAAUGACUGUGGUGGCUGAGGGCAGGCGCCCCACCUGCAAAAUGCGGGGAACAGUGGCAUCUACCCCGUCGGGCUGAUUUGAGGAUGAGGUCAGCUUUUGCUGUACAAUAAGCUGUCCGUAAACGUUCGUUUUUAUGAGCCCAGGGCCUGCCGUGUGGUAGGUGUUCACUAGACGAUGUACACUCUUAAAAGCACCCACUGAGCUGGGACCAGCAGUAGAAAGUCAGCUGAAUCAUCCUCACCCCUGCUUCCUGGAGCAGCCUGGUAUCCAGUGGAUAAUGAUUUGAAGCACCCUGGAGAUGGAUGGAAAUGUUCACACCAUAAUCAAGGAAUUAUGAAGGGUAAGGAUCGCUGCUGGAUCUCUUCUGUCAUCCCUCCCAGGACCCAUUGGUCCUACUGGCCCACUUCCAGAAAGCAAGCCAUCAACCUGCUUAAUAUAGGAAGUAAAACAAAAAGGUCGAGAAGGCCUUGAGGUGGGAAGGAAGCUGCUUCUCUGAUGGUCAGUUCCAGGAGCGGUCUCUUGUUGAGCGUGCAGGAUUCACUUGGAGUCUGUGGCUUGGCAGCUGGAGGUGAGAGGCUGGGGCGAGAGGGGAUGGGCUGAGGACAGGAUCUGCAUAGAUGGUUUCCGAGGUCCUUUCCAGCCUCGCUCUCAGGAGCCCUUUGGUUUUGUAACCCACGUGAUUCAUCAUUUCUUCAGGUGUGAGUCACCCCUAAUGGAGGUGGGAGAACAGGAGGCGUGGUGGGAGGCCCCAUCCCAACAGGCCACAUCCAUGUUCACAAGGGCUCCUGCCAAGGGCCCAUCUUGGAACCUGGAGAUCAACGUCCCACAUGGCCUUCGCUUUGCUACACUAGAUGUAACUUCACCUCCCUGCGUUCCCCUGGCAAGUGGG
rnacentral:lncRNA from 10 species